ensembl:lncRNA
AAAAAAAUAAAAUCAUUAAGAGACAGAAACGAAAAAAGGUCCGUUUUUUUCAUUUCCUGAGACCGGAAGUGGUCAUCAGCAAGUGUGGAGCCAAACGACAACAAAUUUCUCAGAGGGCGGAGCCAGAGAGCAGCGAUUGGUCAGCCCAUAGUUUAUAUAGAAGACAGCGCGCUAGCGUAUCGAGUCUAUGUGUCGGCAUGUCUGGUAGCAUCUCUGGCUGCUGUUGACCUUGUUUUUGGAGUAAAACACGGUGGAAGCUGAAUUAGUGAGGAUGACUCCUGCUCCUGUCAUCUCUAAGCUCCUCACACAUCUUUACCUGCACAUGAGGAAAAUCACUCCUGUAGAAUGCAGAUGUUCAGAGGGAGAUGAUGCCACAUCUGGUCCAGCUGAUGGAAGGUCUUGAAGUUCUCUGACUGGCCUCGACUGAAGAUGGUCGUCUCACUGGAUUUAAGAUGCACAAUGAGGGACGUCUGCAGCGACUGAGAAAGAGUCUCACCACAUCCUGACAUGAGGAAAAAGACUUUACUGAAGACUACAAUGAGGAAAACUAUCAGACAGCAGAUGGCUGCAUUCAAGGCUACAGGAGGAGCCCUACGAGGACGAGCCGGUCCACCUGAUGGCGGCCAGUCGCUGCGGUUCAAAGCCAACACCGACUACGUGGACUUCUACUGGACCACACGGAGGCCUUCAAACCGGACCAACAAGUUCAGCGACUCCCCGACUCGUGGGUCUGAGGACGCCGCCGAGCCUCGGCCCAGCCGGCCUCCUGUCUGUGGGUGUUUGAGUGCUGAGAGGUUUGUGGAUGCAUGUGAACAUGUCUGUGUUGAAACAGCAGCUUUGGACUCAGUAACGCCGGGAAAAACCAAGAGCUCCUUUAUUUGUGACUUCCACUAAAAAAACCUGAUGAAAAUAAGUUUGCCAGGGUUCUGACUGAUAACAGGUUAUUAAAUAAUGAAAAUAAUCGUUUAAAUAUUACUUUAAACAAUCCUUUUAGGUCUACAUUUCCUUUACACUGUCUUCUUGGUAUAUGUACAAGUAUUUUGGGU